AGUGAACGCUGGCGGCAGGCCUAACACAUGCAAGUCGAGCGGCAGCGCGGGGGCAACCCUGGCGGCGAGCGGCGGACGGGUGAGGAAUACAUCGGAAUCUACCUUCUUGUGGGGGAUAACGUAGGGAAACUUACGCUAAUACCGCAUGAGACCUGAGGGUGAAAGCAGGGGACCGCAAGGCCUUGCGCGAGAAGAUGAGCCGAUGUCCGAUUAGCUAGUUGGUGAGGUAAAGGCUCACCAAGGCGACGAUCGGUAGCUGGUCUGAGAGGAUGAUCAGCCACACUGGAACUGAGACACGGUCCAGACUCCUACGGGAGGCAGCAGUGGGGAAUAUUGGACAAUGGGCGCAAGCCUGAUCCAGCCAUGCCGCGUGUGUGAAGAAGGCCUCGGGUUGUAAAGCACUUUUGUUCGGGAAGAAAUCUUCCGACCUAAUACGUCGGGAGGCUGACGGUACCGAAAAGAAUAAGCACCGGCUAACUUCGUGCCAGCAGCCGCGGUAAUACGAAGGGUGCAAGCGUUACUCGGAAUUACUGGGCGUAAAGCGUGCGUAGGUGGUUCGUUAAGUCUGCCGUGAAAGCCCCGGGGCUCAACCUGGGAAUGGCGGUGGAUACUGGCGGGACUAGAGUGCGGUAGAGGGUGGUGGAAUUCCCCGGUGUAGCAGUGAAAUGCGUAGAGAUCGGGAGGAACAUCUGUGGCGAAGGCGGCCACCU
rnacentral:rRNA from 1 species